rnacentral:lncRNA from 1 species
CACAGAUUCAGCCCAGGUCUCCAGCACCAGAGCCCAGGCCUGGGCGUGCCAGUGUGCCUUCUCCACAGGGUCUUCCAGGGUGUGAUUUGAAACUGGGAGCAUAGCCAUAUGGCAUCAUGACGCAGCAAUACCACCAUCAACAGUGGCUCCCGGAAGAGAGUUAUUUCCUAAAGAGUUACCUGGACACGUGGGAAAUUUCACAAUCUUUUCAACGUUGGCUUUUUUCCAUGUAAAAAGAAGCUAUCAUCUUCUGGGAAGAAAAAAGGCUGAGAAAUUCCGUGAUCUGCCAUCUGCAAGCUGGAUAAUAAGAUAAGCUGGUGGUGUAAUUUAGUCUACACUGGAAUGCCUGAGAAUCAGGAGUUAACAGUUUAAGUCUUCUUCAGAGUCCACAGGCUGGAGAACCAGAAGCUUUGGUACCCCAAGACAGGAGCAGGUGGGUGUCCUAGCUCAAGAAAAGACAGCAAAUUCACCCU